rnacentral:rRNA from 1 species
AUUGAACGCUGGCGGCAUGCCUUACACAUGCAAGUCGAACGGCAGCACGGGUGCUUGCACCUGGUGGCGAGUGGCGAACGGGUGAGUAAUACAUCGGAACAUGUCCUGUAGUGGGGGAUAGCCCGGCGAAAGCCGGAUUAAUACCGCAUACGAUCUACGGAUGAAAGCGGGGGACCUUCGGGCCUCGCGCUAUAGGGUUGGCCGAUGGCUGAUUAGCUAGUUGGUGGGGUAAAGGCCUACCAAGGCGACGAUCAGUAGCUGGUCUGAGAGGACGACCAGCCACACUGGGACUGAGACACGGCCCAGACUCCUGCGGGAGGCAGCAGUGGGGAAUGUUGGACAAUGGGCGAAAGCCUGAUCCAGCAAUGCCGCGUGUGUGAAGAAGGCCUUCGGGUUGUAAAGCACUUUUGUCCGGAAAGAAAUCCUUGGCCCUAAUACGGUCGGGGGAUGACGGUACCGGAAGAAUAAGCACCGGCUAACUACGUG